GCGUUGGUGGUAUAGUGGUGAGCAUAGCUGCCUUCUGAGCAGUUGACCCGGGUUUGAUUCCCGGUCAAUGUG
rnacentral:tRNA from 1 species